GUUUACGGCUAUACCACGUUGAAAGCACCAGUUCUCGUCCGAUCACUGAAGUUAAGCAACGUCGGGCUCGGUUAGUACUUGGAUGGGUGACCGCCUGGGAACACCGAGUGCUGUAGACU
rnacentral:rRNA from 1 species